UGUAGACAUUACAUUUCUUUUUUUAAAUAAGUAUUUUUAAACUUUGGAAAAAAUAAUACAUGAAUAUGGUUAAAAAGAAUUCAAGGAAAAAAUUCAAAGCAAAAUGCCUUCUUCUCUCCGUCCUCCUCUUUUCUCAGGGGCAGCCUCUGGGAACCAGCUGGUGGGUCUCCUUCCGUGGUCACAACGCCCAAGACACAGGUCGUCUGUAACCUGAGUAAAACCUGGCUUCCUGUUCUUGCCUGAGCACAGUGACAUGGCCAGAGGAAAUGACCUGGCUCCACUUCCAAACUGGCCUAGUCUCCCCGGGUCUCCGUGAAGGUCCCCUGAGAGCGCCAAGGACAGCGUGCAGCUCAUGUCCUGCUGGACAACAUGGGUGCUUGCAGACCCUGGCUGCUCAUGGUCCCGGGGCUCUUCAGGCAAGAGCAGCCCCACGCCCCGAGGUCCAGGGGUCUGGUUAGAAGGGCACAGUGCCGGUAGCUGCAGCCUGUAGCAGCUGCUCUGAAUCCUAGGUGCCAGCUGUGAGGACCUCCUGACUCCUGAAGACGGGUUCCUCUGACACAGACAGGGCUUCAGCUGCUGGGUGUCCCUAAAUGAUGAAAAUCGCCUUCUGAGAUACACUCCGCAAACUCCUCAAAAAUGCCGUCCCUCGGGUGUCUCCAAAGUCUCACUCUCUCUUCUAGGUUCCCAUCAUGCUCUGUCCCCUGUGAAAUGCCCUUCCUCCCCAGGAGGUGGUGAAGAAACCCGGCUGUUGGGUUUAAUGAUUCUGUCCCCGCCAUGUAUACACAUGAGAAGGACCAAGACAUGCGUGUUUUCCGUGAGUGCACAAUGGCUGGCCCCUUGCUCUGAAGGUCGAUAGGAGCCAAGUCCAUCCUGCACACCAGCACUCUGCCUUCUUGUCUUGAUGGCUGACAGUGAACAGACAGUGACUUCUCGAGAACGUCUUCUCCCGUGGGCUUUAGGAACUCCAACAGUGCUGUGUCCUCUCACUGUGUAAGAAGGGAUAUUGCUCAGCCCAAUUGGAGAAGAGUUCCUGUCCCUGGCACCUUAGUGGGAGGCCUGGUGGGCUGGGUAGCCUCCCAGGGGCUGCUUCCUGCCGAGUCCCGCGUGCCUCAUGGGUGGACGUGCAGAAUGAGGCUUGGCAAGAGAUCUGUCAUGAGAAAUGUCCAACAAACAGGAACCAUGUCCCUAGGGCUCUCCACGUCCUAUGCCGCUGUGACUAGCCAUUCCUGGGAGCUGGGAGCCUUGGUGGAACCCACAAAUGGCUAAAUUCGAGGAAACGGUGCUGGGAACUUAACAGUGUGGCACAAUAUCUUUUAGCCACUUAAAAAAAGACUGAGCAAUUCAAAUCACAUUGCUAGUGACAGGCUUGGAGGUCAGUCCUUUUGCUACUGGACUGGAGAGAAGGUGUUUGUCCUCUGAGCUCCCAGCACCCACUCACCUUCCUCCUGGUGAAUUCCCUGUUCCAGGUCAGAAGACUUGGGCUCUGCUGGACUUGGUGCGGCGUGAGGCUGGAGCCAGAGAAGCAUGGCCCACGCCCACACAUUCCAGAGACACCUGACUCACACCAGCCAGUUUCUGUGGCUGGACUGGAGUGGCAGAGCUCAUGUUGCUAGGGACCAGCAAGCCUGGACUUGGCCUCUGGCUUCUGCAGCAACCGGGGCAGCAACUGUAACCACAGGAGCCACUUCCCAGGUCCUUGGGGCCUGCUGUGCACACCCCUCUGCCUUGGGCCACUGCAAGACCUGCUCUGCACACCCCCCUGCCUUGGGCCACCAUGGGGCCUGCUGUGCACACCCCCUGCCUUGGGCUACCUCAGGACCUGCUGUGUACAUCCCCUUGCCUUGGGCCACCUCGGGGCCUGCUGUGCAUACUCCCUGCUUUGGGCCACCUCGGCUGCUGCCUAGCUGCUCCAUAGAUGUUCACCCCAGCAGCAGGUCCACUCGGCCUGUCCCAGGCCUCCCUCUCCCCUGCACUUAUCUGGAGGCUAUGACCAGAGCCAGCCCAGACAUGCCGUUCCCCUGCCUGAAACUGCUUUGCUCUCUCUUCAGAUCCCCAGUCUCUGAGUGUUAUUCAGAAGAUGCCAGAACCAUUCAGCCCUGAAUGAUGUGGUCCAUCUCUCUCGGGUCCUGUGGUUCCUUUCCCUUCCUUUCUGGUACCGGGGAUGGACCCAGGAGCAUUCUACCUCUGAGCGGCAUCCUGCCUUGCUGCGGCCUUGAAUUUGAAUCCUCCCGCCUCAGCCUGCGACUUGCUGGGAUCACAGGCGUGAGCCACCACGCCUGGCUGGUCCUGUGAUUCUGCCUGGCUUUUCCCAUUUCCUGGGCUUGGGGGCUGAGCAUCUGAAGUCUCACCUGCUGUGGAGUCACACCUGCCCACAGGGCUCAGGGAGGAAGCCACACGUGUGCAUGGCCCCCGGGAUGAGGAGCUGGCCCUGGAAGCCUCCUGUUCACUGUCCCUCCUGGUGCCUGCGUCCUUUGCCCUUCUGAGACUGUGAGUGCCUUAAAGGACCAGGAAUUCAUCUUACUCAUAGCUUGGAGCCUUGCUGAGCGCUCGUGGCUGGUGCCUGGCAGGGCACAUGUGCUGUCUCACACGGUGACUUACAUGCAGGCAGGGCCUGUCCACAGUCUCCCGGACUCCCAUGCAGCGUCCCUUUGCCUGGGACCCUGUGCUCCGGCCUGUGCUCGCCUUGCCCAACCCUGGAAUCCUGGCACGGAGCUGUGCGCCCUCAGUUGCUGGGAGAACAUGCACUUGGUGAUGUGGCCACACGAGAGGGGAAGACGUAAGACCAGGCCCCAGAAGCCAGCCCCCGCCGUCCCGGUCCUUCUGCCUCAGCGCCCUGGCUCCGUUGCUGGCUACGGGAAAUCCCCAUGAACCUUGUCAAAGCUGCUCCUCUGGUAGACUUCCUGGUGUCCCCACCUUGUGGUGGUCCCCACCUCGGUCUCCCUGUGCCAGCUGCCCCUGGGUCAGGAGGCUGGAAGAACCGGUUCCUGGGGAUGCUUCUGCUUCUCCAAGCUCAAGGGGAUCGAAGCCCCCUCCAGCCCCUGGACGAGGUCGCCUGUUGCUAGGCUGCUGUGGAUGAGCUGGAGGACGUGUGUGGGGUGACAGCCGUGCCCACACCUGCUCCCUGUUCUGGAGACCUCUCUCAGUGCAGGCAGCUAGGUGCAGAGGCUGCGCACACUCGACCCGGCACUUCUCAGGCACAGUCCCCGCGGGGGAGUCGGAGGUGUCGAGCAGGCUGGUCCUGUGUCCCCCUGCCCUCAGCAGAGAGAGCUGCUGCACCAGGAGCUCA